AAAAUCAAGAUAAUGGGUCAAA
rnacentral:snRNA from 1 species